rnacentral:tRNA from 1 species
UCCCGGCUCGUCUAACGGUAGGACGCGACCCUCUGGAGGUCGUUAUUGGAGUUCGAAUCUCUGGCCGGGAGCCA